UGGGGGAUAUUGCACAAUGGGCGAAAGCCUGAUGCAGCGACGCCGCGUGGGGGAUGAAGGCUUUCGGGUUGUAAACCUCUUUCGCUAUCGAACAAGGCCCGCUUAGGGUGGGUUGAGGGUAGGUGGAGAAGAAGCGCCGACUAACUACGUGCCAGCAGCCGCGGUAAUACGUAGGGCGCGAGCGUUGUCCGGAAUUAUUGGGCGUAAAGGGCUUGUAGGCGGCUUGUUGCGCCUGCUGUGAAAACGCGGGGCUUAACUUCGCGCGUGCAGGGGGUACGGGCAGGCUUGAGUGUGGUAGGGGUGACUGGAAUUCCAGGUGUAGCGGUGGAAUGCGCAGAUAUCUGGAGGAACAACGAUGGCGAAGGCAGGUCACUGGGCCAUUACUGACGCUGAGGAGCGAAAGCAUGGGUAGCGAACAGG
rnacentral:rRNA from 1 species